rnacentral:lncRNA from 1 species
CUGUGUUAUCCUGAAAAUAAAUAGUACUUUUAUUGUUUAACAUUUUGAACAAGAUAAUCAAUAACGAGACGGUUGCUACAAAUGCUAAUUCUAAUUUUAUGUUUGUAAUUAGAACUUUACUCGUAAAAGAUUUGAUUCUUAGGUUAAAACAUACGUAUCGUGAGGAUAACAGAAGUAUCGGCUACCUGACAAACCUGAUUUAUGACGGGCUCGUGGAUAUUUUUGGUUGUUUUAUGUUUUCGACUGUGUAAUAUAAUAUUCAUAUCCGAUUGUUUUCGUCCGUAAAAAUAUUUUUUUAGAAUUCAAUGGUGCGGUGAAAUUAAUCUAUAAUGUGAGAGUACGGCCGUACAUUAUAUAGAUCUUUACAGUUCACAGUGGCAG